rnacentral:rRNA from 1 species
UCGAACGGCAGCACAGGGAGCUUGCUCCCGGGUGGCGAGUGGCGCACGGGUGAGUAAUACAUCGGAACGUGUCCUGUUGUGGGGGAUAACUGCUCGAAAGGGUGGCUAAUACCGCAUGAGACCUGAGGGUGAAAGCGGGGGAUCGCAAGACCUCGCGCAAUUGGAGCGGCCGAUGCCCGAUUAGCUAGUUGGUGAGGUAAAGGCUCACCAAGGCGACGAUCGGUAGCUGGUCUGAGAGGACGACCAGCCACACUGGGACUGAGACACGGCCCAGACUCCUACGGGAGGCAGCAGUGGGGAAUUUUGGACAAUGGGGGCAACCCUGAUCCAGCCAUGCCGCGUGCAGGAUGAAGGCCUUCGGGUUGUAAACUGCCUUUGUCAGGGACGAAAAGGACCGUGUUAAUACCAUGGUCUGCUGACGGUACCUGAAGAAUAAGCACCGGCUAACUACGUGCCAGCAGCCGCGGUAAUACGUAGGGUGCAAGCGUUAAUCGGAAUUACUGGGCGUAAAGCGUGCGCAGGCGGUUCUGUAAGACAGAUGUGAAAUCCCCGGGCUUAACCUGGGAAUUGCAUUUGUGACUGCAGGACUAGAGUUCAUCAGAGGGGGGUGGAAUUCCAAGUGUAGCAGUGAAAUGCGUAGAUAUUUGGAAGAACACCAAUGGCGAAGGCAGCCCCCUGGGAUGCGACUGACG